rnacentral:rRNA from 1 species
GACGAACGCUGGCGGCGUGCUUAACACAUGCAAGUCGAACGAUGAAGCCGGAGCUUGCUCUGGUGAAUUAGUGGCGAACGGGUGAGUAACACGUGAGUAACCUGCCCUUGACUCUGGAAUAACUGCGGGAAACUGUAGCUAAUACCGGAUACGACCCUCGGAGGCAUCUCCUGGGGCUGGAAAGAAUUUCGGUAAAGGAUGGACUCGCGGCCUAUCAGCUAGUUGGGGAGGUAAAGGCUGACCAAGGCGGCGACGGGUGGCCGGCCUGAGAGGGUGACCGGCCACACUGGGACUGAGACACGGCCCAGACUCCUACGGGAGGCAGCAGUGGGGAAUAUUGCACAAUGGGCGCAAGCCUGAUGCAGCAACGCCGCGUGAGGGAUGACGGCCUUCGGGUUGUAAACCUCUUUUAGCAGGGAAGAAGCGAAAGUGACGGUACCUGCAGAAAAAGCACCGGCUAACUACGUGCCAGCCGCCGCAGUAA